rnacentral:rRNA from 1 species
CCCUUAGAUGUCCUGGGCCGCACGCGUGCUACACUGACACUUGCAACGAGUACUUUGCUUUACCGAAAGGUAAUGCUAAUCAUCAAUAAGUGUCGUGAUGGGGAUAGAUCUUUGGAAUUAUGGAUCUUGAACGAGGAAUGCCUAGUAAGCGUAGGUCAUUAGCCUACGCUGAUUAAGUCCCUGCCCUUUGUACACACCGCCCGUCGCUCCUACCGAUUUCGAGUGGUCCGGUGAAACUUUUGGACCGAGGCAGCUUGCUGUUUUGGAAAAUCAAGUAAACCACGUCACUUAGAGGAAGGAGAANUCGUANCA